rnacentral:rRNA from 1 species
AGUGAACGCUGGCGGUAGGCCUAACACAUGCAAGUCGAACGGCAGCACAGUAAGAGCUUGCUCUUACGGGUGGCGAGUGGCGGACGGGUGAGGAAUACAUCCGAAUCUACUUUUUCGUGGGGGAUAACGUAGGGAAACUUACGCCAAUACCGCAUACGACCUACGGGUGGAAGCAGGGGAUCUUCGGACCUUGCGCGAUUGAAUGAGCCGAUGUCGGAUUAGCUAGUUGGCGGGGUAAAGGCCCACCAAGGCGACGAUCCGUAGCUGGUCUGAGAGGAUGAUCAGCCACACUGGAACUGAGACACGGUCCAGACUCCUACGGGAGGCAGCAGUGGGGAAUAUUGGACAAUGGGCGCAAGCCUGAUCCAGCCAUACCGCGUGGGUGAAGAAGGCCUUCGGGUUGUAAAGCCCUUUUGUUGGGAAAGAAAAGCAGCAGGUUAAUACCCCGCUGUUCUGACGGUACCCAAAGAAUAAGCACCGGCUAACUUCGUG